rnacentral:rRNA from 1 species
GACAGAGGGGGCAAGCGUUGCUCGGAAUCACUGGGCGUAAAGGGCGCGUAGGCGGGAUGGCAAGUCAGUCGUGAAAUCUCUCGGCUCAACCGAGGAACUGCGCCCGAGACUGCCUUUCUUGAGUCCCGGAGAGGAAGGUGGAAUUCCCGGUGUAGCGGUGAAAUGUGUAGAGAUCGGGAGGAACACCGGUGGCGAAGGCGGCCUUCUGGACGGUGACUGACGCUGAGGAGCGAAAGCGUGGGGAGCAAACAGG